AUGUGUGUGUGUGUGUGUGUGUGUGUGUGUGUGUAUGCUUGUCCUGGGGCUUGAACUCAGAGUCUGGGGACUGUCCCUGAGCUUUUGUGCUCAAAACUAGCACUCUACCACUUAAGACACAGCCCCCCUUCUAGCUUUUGUGGUGCUUAACUGGAUGUAAGAAUUUCAUAGACUUUCCUGCCCAGGCUGGUUUUGAACCAUAGUCCUCAGAUCUCAACCUCCUGAGUAGUUAGGAU